rnacentral:rRNA from 1 species
UAGAGUUUUGAUCAUGGCUCAGAUUGAACGCUGGCGGCAGGCCUAACACAUGCAAGUCGAGCGGCAGCGGGGGGAAGCUUGCUUCCCCGCCGGCGAGCGGCGGACGGGUGAGUAAUGUCUGGGGAUCUGCCUGAUGGAGGGGGAUAACUACUGGAAACGGUAGCUAAUACCGCAUAACGUCGCAAGACCAAAGUGGGGGACCUUCGGGCCUCACGCCAUCGGAUGAACCCAGAUGGGAUUAGCUAGUAGGUGAGGUAACGGCUCACCUAGGCGACGAUCCCUAGCUGGUCUGAGAGGAUGACCAGCCACACUGGAACUGAGACACGGUCCAGACUCCUACGGGAGGCAGCAGUGGGGAAUAUUGCACAAUGGGGGAAACCCUGAUGCAGCCAUGCCGCGUGUGUGAAGAAGGCCUUCGGGUUGUAAAGCACUUUCAGCGGGGAGGAAGGGAUAAGGUUAAUAACCUUGUCAUUGACGUUACCCGCAGAAGAAGCACCGGCUAACUCCGUGCCAGCAGCCGCGGUAAUACGGAGGGUGCAAGCGUUAAUCGGAAUGACUGGGCGUAAAGCGCACGCAGGCGGUCUGUUAAGUUGGAUGUGAAAUCCCCGGGCUUAACCUGGGAACUGCAUUCAAAACUGACAGGCUAGAGUCUCGUAGAGGGGGGUAGAAUUCCAGGUGUAGCGGUGAAAUGCGUAGAGAUCUGGAGGAAUACCGGUGGCGAAGGCGGCCCCCUGGACGAAGACUGACGCUCAGGUGCGAAAGCGUGGGGAGCAAACAGGAUUAGAUACCCUGGUAGUCCACGCUGUAAACGAUGUCGAUUUGGAGGUUGUGCCCUUGAGGCGUGGCUUCCGGAGCUAACGCGUUAAAUCGACCGCCUGGGGAGUACGGCCGCAAGGUUAAAACUCAAAUGAAUUGACGGGGGCCCGCACAAGCGGUGGAGCAUGUGGUUUAAUUCGAUGCAACGCGAAGAACCUUACCUACUCUUGACAUCCAGAGAAUUUGGCAGAGAUGCCUUGUGCCUUCGGGAGCUCUGAGACAGGUGCUGCAUGGCUGUCGUCAGCUCGUGUUGUGAAAUGUUGGGUUAAGUCCCGCAACGAGCGCAACCCUUAUCCUUUGUUGCCAGCACUUCGGGUGGGAACUCARGGGAGACUGCCGGUGAUAAACCGGAGGAAGGUGGGGAUGACGUCAAGUCAUCAUGGCCCUUACGAGUAGGGCUACACACGUGCUACAAUGGCGCAUACAAAGAGAAGCGACCUCGCGAGAGCAAGCGGACCUCAUAAAGUGCGUCGUAGUCCGGAUUGGAGUCUGCAACUCGACUCCAUGAAGUCGGAAUCGCUAGUAAUCGUAGAUCAGAAUGCUACGGUGAAUACGUUCCCGGGCCUUGUACACACCGCCCGUCACACCAUGGGAGUGGGUUGCAAAAGAAGUAGGUAGCUUAACCUUCGGGAGGGCGCUUACCACUUUGUGAUUCAUGACUGGGGUGAAGUCGUAACAAGGUAACCGUAGGGGAACCUGCGGUUGGAUCACCUCCUUACCGAGUAGAAGUGCCUGCGUGGUGUCCACACAGAUUGUCUGAUGAUAAGAAAGAGUCAAAAGCGUCUUGCGAAGCUGACAAGUGAUGUCCCCUUCGUCUAGAGGCCCAGGACACCGCCCUUUCACGGCGGUAACAGGGGUUCGAAUCCCCUAGGGGACGCCAAUAUGACUGACGGUGGGUGAAAGGCACGGUCAACGCUAACCUAAAACUGAUUAGAGAUAGUCAGGUUUAUGUUAUCUGCUCUUUAACAAUCCGGAACAAGCUGAAUAAUUUGAAACGACGGCAUAUGAAUGUGAAUUCAUGUGUUGUUCGAGUCUCUCAAAAUACUCGCAUCCCGAGACACUUUCGGGUUGUGAGGUUAAGCGA